rnacentral:tRNA from 1 species
CCCUCCGUAGUACAACGGAUAGUACGGGCCCCUCCUAAGGGUCAGAUCCAUGUUCGAUUCAUGGCGGGGGGACCA